CGUUAGCGGCGGACGGGUGAGUAACACGUGGGUAACCUACCUAUAAGACUGGGAUAACUUCGGGAAACCGAGCUAAUACCGGAUAAUAUUUCGAACCGCAUGGUUCGAUAGUGAAAGAUGGUUUUGCUAUCACUUAUAGAUGGACCCGCGCCGUAUUAGCUAGUUGGUAAGGUAACGGCUCACCAAGGCGACGAUACGUAGCCGACCUGAGAGGGUGAUCGGCCACACUGGAACUGAGACACGGUCCAGACUCCUACGGGAGGCAGCAGCG
rnacentral:rRNA from 1 species